ensembl:lncRNA
AGUAUUUUAAAUUAUUUAAAAAGUGAACUAGGCUGGCUGGGUGUGGUGGCUCACACCUGCAAUCCCAGCACUUUGGGAGGCUGAGGUGGGUGGAUCAUGAGGUUAAGAGAUCAAGACCAUCCUGGCCAACAUGGUGAAACCCCAUCUCUACUAAAAAUACAAAAAUUAGCCGGGUGUGGUAGCGCGCGCCUGUAGUCCCAGCUACUCAGGAGGCUGAGGCAGGAAAAUUGCUUGAACCUGGGAGGCGGAGGUUGUAGGGAGCCGAGAUCGCGCCACUGCACUCCAGCCUGGCACCUGGCUAUGGAGCUAGACUCUCUCAGAAAAAAAAAAAAAAGUGAACUAGGCAAACUUAGAUAAGUCUGUGUAUUCUGUAAGCUUUUGCUACAUUAAUAGCAAGGAAUAGUCCAUACCAAAUAACUGUGGUUAGCCCAAAAUCAAAAGUAUUUCCCACCAUAGACCACAAUUCCUUGGUUUUUUUGAAGGAAUUGUGGUUUUUUUCCUCCACUGUUUCACAUAUCUGUCCUAGCGCAGCUCACUACCUUGUUUAAAUUAAACCUAACUGCUCUAACAGCAUUUAAAUGACAUCUCCACUGUAAACCAAGAGUGGCUAUGAGAUCAUAUUUGAUAUGUGUUUAAACAAGUUGGUCCAUUUUGAGACAUAUCUAGAAAAUAUUGCAUAUAAUCAUUGAAUCACUUCAAAGAAUGUCCUUGCUAUUGUCAGAGUUGAAGCCAUGUCUCCUAGGAACAUACUGACAGAUGUUUAAUCAAUUUGUGGGCAUUUGUGUUUGUGCUAUGCAGGGCCUUCUGAAGUACAAGGCUCAGGGCAGGCACCCUACUUGCCCAAGUCUAAGAGUGGCAUUGCAGACCAAUAAUAAAUGCCAUGUGGGACCAAUACAUAUAUUGACCAAUGUUUCAGAAACUAGAGAUUUAUCUUCUUCCAGGCAAAGGUUCAUUUGAGUAAUAAAAAUAAAUCUUCCAAAAGGUGAGGAUCAUAUUCUAUAAUCUACUUAUAAGGUAAUAAGUACAAUUUUGGGAAUAUAAAUAGCAUCUUCUAAGAGCCAGAGCUUUUUGGAAUGGUUACCUGUUUUUUUCUUUUCUUUUUUUUCCCUCAUAACAUUCUUGGAGUAUGGUUACUUCUUAGUUCAAUAUACUUAGAAGUAUGCCUAGAAGUACAAAACAUUCGCAUGAAAAUGAUGUUUUCUUGCUAAUUCCCUACAUAGUUUGCUCAGGCCUAUCUCAUUGCCUCUAUUUUUUGCUCAUAUAGAUCUAAGACUUCAAAUGCUUACAAAAGUCCUUUUUGCUCUCUACUUUUCAUCACCCUUGAAUUCAGAAUGCAUCUUAUAGUCAAUGGCAUCUUGAAAUAGAAUAUAGCAAACUGUUAAUGACAGUUGCCUCUGGGGAAUUGUGUAUUGUUUACACCUUCUGCAAUAAAAAUGCAUUACUUUUUGAGACUUCAGUUUCCUAGAAGAUAGAAAAAGUUUAAAUUAAGACUGGGCGUGUUGAUGCAUGUCUGUAAUCCCAGCACUUUGGGAGGCCAAGGCAGGAGAAUUGCUUCAGCUCAGAAGUUCAAGACCAGCCUGGGCAAAAUGGUGAAACCCCAUCUUUACAAAAAAAUACAAAAACUAGCCGGGUGUGGUGGUGCACACCUGUAGUUCCAACUACUUGGGAGAAUAUUUUGAGCCUGAGAGGUCAAGGUUGCCAUCAGCUGAUUGCACCACUGCACUUCAGCCUGAAUGACAGAGUGACAGCCUGUCUCAAAGAAAAAAAAAAAGAAAGAAAGAAAGAGAAAAAAUUUAAAUUUAAAUUAAAUAAGUUAAUUUUUAUUUUAAAUGAAAACAUAAAUAUAAUGCAUUACUUUUAUAAUGAAAACAAAUUUUCAAAAUUUUAGACACAAAAUCUUAGGUGGUUUCUGUACCUUGUCUCUUAGUACUAAAAGAGUACUGAGACAGUAAUAACAGUAAUUAAUAGUUUAUGAAGUUUUAUAUUCAUAAUGGAUUUUAUAAGCCCCUCAUGUUAGCAAUUGGCAUGAUACUUCAGAGGUGAUCUUCACAGCAUUUAACUGUGAAUUAUCCAUGAUGGAAACAUUCAUUAGAGCUCCUUGCUACUCACCAUAUUAUACUGCAGCUAUUUAGUCAUUUUUCCCACCAGAAUGAGAGCUCCUUGAAGGCAGGAACUGCUCACUCAUUUUUGUGUCUCCAGGGCCUAACACAAAGCCUAU